rnacentral:rRNA from 1 species
AUUGAACGCUGGCGGCAGGCCUAACACAUGCAAGUCGAACGAGUGGCGGACGGGUGAGUAAUGUCUGGGAAACUGCCCGAUGGAGGGGGAUAACUACUGGAAACGGUAGCUAAUACCGCAUACUCUCAGAUGAGCCUCGGUCGGAUUAGCUAGUUGGUGGGGUAAAGGCCUACCAAGGCGACGAUCCGUAACUGGUCUGAGAGGAUGAUCAGGCACACUGGAACUGAGACACGGUCCAGACUCCUACGGGAGGCAGCAGUGGGGAAUAUUGCACAAUGGGCGCAAGCCUGAUGCAGCCAUGCCGCGUGUAUGAAGAAGGCCUUCGGGUUGUAAAGUACUUUCAGCGGGGAGGCGUUACCCGCAGAAGAAGCACCGGCUAACUCCGUGCCAGCAGCCGCGGUAAUAC